rfam:Dipodomys ordii contig_65234, whole genome shotgun sequence.
GGUGGCUUAGUGGUAGAAUGCUUGCCUUGCAUGCAUGAGGCCCUGGGUUCGAUUCCCCAGCACCA